ensembl:misc_RNA Metazoa_SRP Metazoan signal recognition particle RNA
GCCAGGCAUGGUGGCGGGUGCCUGUAAUCCCAGCUACUCAGGAGGCUGAGGCAGGAGAAUCGCUUGAACCCAGGAGGCCAAGGCUGCAGUGUACUGAGAUGGUGCCACUGCACUCCAGCCUGGGUGACAGAGUAAGACUCUGUCUCAA